rnacentral:rRNA from 1 species
UACGGAGGGUGCAAGCGUUAAUCGGAAUUACUGGGCGUAAAGCGCACGCAGGCGGUCAAUUAAGUUGGAUGUGAAAUCCCCGGGCUUAACCUGGGAACUGCAUUCAAAACUGAUUGGCUAGAGUCUUGUAGAGGGGGGUAGAAUUCCAGGUGUAGCGGUGAAAUGCGUAGAGAUCUGGAGGAAUACCGGUGGCGAAGGCGGCCCCCUGGACAAAGACUGACGCUCAGGUGCGAAAGCGUGGGGAGCAAACAGG